rnacentral:rRNA from 1 species
AACAGGGAUUGCCUCAGUAGCGGCGAGUGAAGCGGCAAAAGCUCAAAUUUGAAAUCUGGCGUCUUUGGCGUCCGAGUUGUAAUUUGAAGAAGGUAUCUUUGGGCCCGGCUCUUGUCUAUGUUUCCUUGGAACAGGACGUCACAGAGGGUGAGAAUCCCGUGCGAUGAGAUGACCCGGGUCUGUGUAAAGUUCCUUCGACGAGUCGAGUUGUUUGGGAAUGCAGCUCUAAGUGGGUGGUAAAUUCCAUCUAAAGCUAAAUAUUGGCGAGAGACCGAUAGCGAACAAGUACAGUGAUGGAAAGAUGAAAAGAACUUUGAAAAGAGAGUGAAAAAGUACGUGAAAUUGUUGAAAGGGAAGGGCUUGAGAUCAGACUUGGUAUUUUGCAUGCUGCUCUCUCGGGGGCGGCCGCUGCGGUUUACCGGGCCAGCAUCGGUUUGGAGCGGCAGGAUAAUGGCGGAGGAAUGUGGCACGGCUUCUGCUGUGUGUUAUAGCCUCUGACGAUACUGCCAGCCUAGACCGAGGACUGCGGUUUUUACCUAGGAUGUUGGCAUAAUGAUCUUAAGUCGC